GAAAAUGGCCUGUUCGUGCCGUUUCGCCCGUUUGACCACCAUACGACCCCUCCCACGCCGCUGGGCCCCACUCUCAUGCUUCUCAGCCUGCCUGGGAGCCCCAAGUCGAUUUUCAGCCCAAAACACGCUCGAGCUCCGGACACACUUUCAUCGUAUUGAUAUGAAAAAUAAUUGUAACUUAUCGUACUUUUUAUAUAGUUUUUGAAAAUUUAAAUUUUAACUUUAACAUCUUGAAUUGGUCUAAUCUAAUUUAGCUUUGAAAAUUAAUCAAAUUGACUCUCAAGAACAAACAUGACAACUAUUUUGGAAUGAAUGGAGUAGAACAAUAGUGCAGGUUUAACAUAAUAUAUGGAAAAUUAAAUAGUGGAACAAUUAAUAAUUCUGAAAAAAUUGUAUUCAUAAGAAAAUGGAUCAGACUUGAACAUUUCAUGUUAUUGAGGGUUAAACUUGCUUAGUUAAAUAUCAGCAAGACUAAAAUUAGCAUUUACUAAUAAUAAUUGAGAGAUCAAAAGAAUGUUAACAAAUUUUUUUGGUUAAAUAAAAAUAGUAGAGAUGAAUAACAAGACGACAAUGUGGUAAAAAGUUAAAGUUAUGCUUACUUUUAUUAAUUAAACUCUUUUUUUUUUUUUAAUUUUUUAACAGCAUAUUGGGAUCAAUUUUGGUUAUUAUUGGCAUGUAUAUUCUUCUAUGGGGCAAAAACAAAGAAGAAGAAAUUUACAAGAAUUCUCCAGCAAUAGAGAAGAGUGGUCAAGUUGAGGUAAAUGGCGGUGGAGAACGAACUAAUCCGUGACCAAUAAAUUUUCUAGAUUAAUUUUACAUUUUAAAUUCAUAUCCCACUUAUGGGAAUACACAGAGUUUGUUGUUAUUGUUGUAAUUUAACAGUUUAAAUUUAAAAUUUAGAAGUUUGAAACUAUACGAAAGACACUAUAAGUUGAAUUUCUUUUCAUAUUAAUGUGAAGAGAAAUAACUAUCUUAAAAUGUUAGAUCAACGUCCAAACAAUUUCAUCCUCAAAAAAGGGUAUGUGAAAAGUAAAAGUGAACCGGUGAGUAAUUGAUAAACAAUCAACAAUGUUAUAGUGCAAAGUUGGCCGAAGUCCAUAUAAUUUUACUCUCAAAAAACAAUGUGUGACAAGUAAAAAUGGAC
rnacentral:lncRNA from 1 species